AAAUUGAAGAGUUUGAUCAUGGCUCAGAUUGAACGCUGGCGGCAGGCCUAACACAUGCAAGUCGAACGUUAACAGGAAUCAGCUUGCUGAUUCGCUGACGAGUGGCGGACGGGUGAGUAAUGUCUGGGAAACUGCCUGAUGGAGGGGGAUAACUACUGGAAACGUUAGCUAAUACCGCAUAACGUCGCAAGACCAAAGAGGGUGACCUUCGGGCCUC
rnacentral:rRNA from 1 species